AUCGCUUCUCGGCCUUUUAGCAAAGAUCAAGUGGAGUAUCUGUUCUUAUCAGUUUAUCAUCUAAUAUGUCCUCUAAAUGAGGACGUUAUAUUAAAUGGAUUUUUAGAGCAGGGAGCUUGCUCCUUCUGCUCCAUGCAUCAACCUGGUAUUGCAGUAUCUAACUCCAGGAACGAUGCCCUUGCA